AGAGUUUGAUCCUGGCUCAGAACGAACGCUGGCGGCAUGCCUAACACAUGCAAGUCGAACGAGACCUUCGGGUCUAGUGGCGCACGGGUGCGUAACGCGUGGGAAUCUGCCCUUGGGUUCGGAAUAACAGUUAGAAAUGACUGCCAAUACCGGAUGAUGACUUCGGUCCAAAGAUUUAUCGCCCAAGGAUGAGCCCGCGUAGGAUUAGGUAGUUGGUGGGGUAAAGGCUCACCAAGCCGACGAUCCUUAGCUGGUCUGAGAGGAUGAUCAGCCACACUGGGACUGAGACACGGCCCAGACUCCUACGGGAGGCAGCAGUGGGGAAUAUUGGACAAUGGGCGAAAGCCUGAUCCAGCAAUGCCGCGUGAGUGAUGAAGGCCUUAGGGUUGUAAAGCUCUUUUACCAGGGAUGAUAAUGACAGUACCUGGAGAAUAAGCUCCGGCUAACUCCGUGCCAGCAGCCGCGGUAAUACGGAGGGAGCUAGCGUUGUUCGGAAUUACUGGGCGUAAAGCGCACGUAGGCGGUACAUCAAGUCAGGGGUGAAAGCCCGGAGCUCAACUCCGGAACUGCCCUUGAAACUAGUGUACUAGAAUCUUGGAGAGGCGGGUGGAAUUC
rnacentral:rRNA from 1 species